GUCGAACGCGAAAGCCCCGCAAGGGGUGAGUAGAGUGGCAAACGGGUGAGUAACACGUGGGUGAUCUGCCUCAGAGUGGGGGAUAACGACCCGAAAGGGUCGCUAAUACCGCAUAACAUCCUGCCUUUGGAUAGGUGGAGAUCAAAGUUGGGGAUCCGCAAGGACCUGACGCUUAGAGAGGAGCCCGCGGCCGAUUAGCUAGUUGGUGAGGUAACGGCUCACCAAGGCAACGAUCGGUAUCCGGCCUGAGAGGGCGGACGGACACACUGGGACUGAGACACGGCCCAGACUCCUACGGGAGGCAGCAGUGGGGAAUUGUUCGCAAUGGGCGCAAGCCUGACGACGCAACGCCGCGUGGAGGACGAAGAUUUUCGGAUCGUAAACUCCUUUCGAUCGGAAAGAACAGCUUUCGGGUGAAUAACCCGAGAGUCUGACGGUACCGAGAGAAGAAGCCCCGGCUAACUCCGUGCCAGCAGCCGCGGUAAUACGGGGGGGGCAAGCGUUGUUCGGAAUUACUGGGCGUAAAGGGCCAGUAGGCGGCCAACUAAGUCCGACGUGAAAUCCCCAGGCUUAACCUGGGAACUGCGUCGGAUACUGGAUGGCUUGAAUUCGGGAGAGGGAUGCAGAAUUCCAGGUGUAGCGGUGAAAUGCGUAGAUAUCUGGAGGAAUACCGGUGGCGAAGGCGGCAUCCUGGACCGACAUAGACGCUGAACGGCGAAAGCUAGGGGAG
rnacentral:rRNA from 1 species